rnacentral:tRNA from 1 species
UCGGGUGUAGCUCAGUGGCAGAGUGUUGCCCAGUGUGAGCAAGGUCCUGGGCUCAAUCCCUAGUGUCCUAA